GUGCAAAUUUAGUUUACGUCUUGCCAAACUAUUGUGAAAAGCAGAGAGGAAAAAGUCAAAGGGUUGCAGGAUGAAGAAUUUUCCUGAAUUCCAGUUUCACUUCAGGUUGGCUUUGGAGCUCUGAAAAUGAUACCUCAGAGGAAGGGCGCUCCUUCAUCCAGACUCCAAUUUUAAUUUUGGGGGAAAUCACACCUCAAAUCCAGUAGCUUGCUCCCAGGUGGGACUACAACCGAAUGCAGCCCUUGUAGCUUUCACUGUGGGGAGGACUUUACUCUCUGGGUCCAUUUUCAUUGUUUUCACUCACCUUGCCAUGGAGAGUCUUUCGUCUCAAUAAUACUGAAUGGCUGUGCGACUUCCCAUCCUCCAUCUGAGGCAGCUCAGGAAGGAAUUUAUUCCUGUCCCUGUGGCUGAGCCACCCCGCGGACAGUGUCAAUAGGAAAGGUCACCUGCUGAUAUGCUGCUGAGCAGCUAGUUCUUUGGGCCAAAAUGUGUUCGGCCCCUCCUCAGGGGCCGAGGGAGCUGGAAUGGUUUCAGCUGUGGAGAUUGCAGUGCUCAAGGGGAAGGGGACUAAGGAAACUGUUACAUGACUUGAGUAAAGGUACACAUGCAGGAAUGAGUAUAAGGUCUUGGCAUACACCCAGGAGAAAACGUAAGGUAAGUAAAUGGUGAUGGGGAGAAAGGAGUGUUUCUCUAUUGAUAGACUGAGUGGGUAAACCUAGCAGUUGUAGUCAGAUGCAGUAGGAAAGAGGAACCAUGAUUUUGAGGAUAGAAGAAUAAGUAUAAAAUUGUUUCAAAGGAUGGCUCACCUAUAGAGUCACCUAAGAUGUACUGGAGGAAUGGGAGGUGGAAGAUUGCACAGUCGAAUGAUGCACUAUUGAACUUAUAAGGCAUGGGAUGAUUAAAUCUGAUCUUGGGUGAUCAUAUUUUGAAUGGAACUGAAUGCAAGAAGGAAUGAAUAUAAUAUCAGAGAUGGUAUCUAUCAUGACAGUUGAAAGAAAAGGAGAAAUUAAAGAUGAUUUUAAAAUUUAGGGCCCCAGUGAUGGGAGAAUGGUGG
rnacentral:lncRNA from 1 species